GGACGGACGGACGGACGGACGGACGUCGGCCAUGUCGUCGUCGUUCUUCCUCGAGCGAGCGUGCGAGCGAGCGAGCGAGCGAUCGAUCCCCCGAGAGCGGAAUGUGCGCGCAGCUGUUCAACAGCUCCUCGUCGUCGGCAUUGGAUCAGCUGAAGGCAUGAGCUCGCAAGAAGAUGAGUGUAGAAGUCUUCCUCAAGUGUGUUUCAAGAACUUUCCGAACGUAUGUUCUUCAAAAUGAACACAUGCAUCUGGAUGGAGUAUCUGUUCACAUCUUACCGGGCAGCAUUAGAUUGCGCUCGAAUGUUCUAAUACUGUCAGGUAAAGAUGUCGUCAGGAUUCCGAAGACAACGAUAAUAAACAAGAGAAGAACGCUACUGAUUGGACUUACGAAACAAGAUACGAUAACAGAACGGAUACGAUUCUUCAGAGUUCUAUUUAGUCACUUGAAUUUUCCCAGGAGAGUCUGUAAUAGGGCCCUCUCUGUCUCCAUGUGGGCAGUAUCUAAAAAUAGAUUACGAGAUAAACCCGAAAGUCUUUCCUCAACAAGAGAUUCCCAAUGUGUUGGGAAUUCCUAAUUUACUAUACUAGACCUUACAAGCGUGUUUAAAUUUGUUACUCAAUCUCUCAUUUACCUUUCUUAAUUUAUUUUUAUUUAUUUAAAUAAUAUUUCUUAUUUUCUCAUUCUCACUCAUUUUUUCCUAAUUUUAUUAUAUUACUAUGUAUGUGUGUGUACGUAUAUAUAUUUUUUUCUCUUUGGAAGGAAAAGAGAACCCCAAAAAAAUCUUAUAUACUUAUUUAUAAUAUUUAGUUAUAUUUUAGAAUUUAUAAAUAUUCAAAAGACAUAAGUUUACCGCACAUAGAUUACAUAUUAAUAUGUAUAAUACACAUACUAAUGUUUUACUAAUUAAAAUAAUAAAAUGUGUAGUUGAAAAUUCCUUUUAUCUAAUGGCGAUGUACGUUAAUUGUGCAUAUAUGACUGUUCGUUAAUUGUGCAUAUAUGAUAUGCAUAAUUGAUAAUAAAUAUUUUUUUAUCAAUGGCAAGUAGAAAAUAAAAGAUUAUGACAGUUCUA